rnacentral:rRNA from 1 species
UACGUAGGGUCCGAGCGUUGUCCGGAAUUACUGGGCGUAAAGAGCUCGUAGGUGGUUUGUCGCGUUGUUCGUGAAAACUCACAGCUUAACUGUGGGCGUGCGGGCGAUACGGGCAGACUUGAGUACUGCAGGGGAGACUGGAAUUCCUGGUGUAGCGGUGGAAUGCGCAGAUAUCAGGAGGAACACCGGUGGCGAAGGCGGUUCUCUGGGCAUGAUCUGACGCUGAGGAGCGAAAGUGUGGGGAGCGAACAGG